rnacentral:rRNA from 1 species
UGGGGAAUUUUGGACAAUGGGCGAAAGCCUGAUCCAGCAAUGCCGCGUGUGUGAAGAAGGCCUUCGGGUUGUAAAGCACUUUUGUCCGGAAAGAAAUCCUUGGCUCUAAUACAGUCGGGGGAUGACGGUACCGGAAGAAUAAGCACCGGCUAACUACGUGCCAGCAGCCGCGGUAAUACGUAGGGUGCAAGCGUUAAUCGGAAUUACUGGGCGUAAAGCGUGCGCAGGCGGUUUGCUAAGACCGAUGUGAAAUCCCCGGGCUCAACCUGGGAACUGCAUUGGUGACUGGCAGGCUAGAGUAUGGCAGAGGGGGGUAGAAUUCCACGUGUAGCAGUGAAAUGCGUAGAGAUGUGGAGGAAUACCGAUGGCGAAGGCAGCCCCCUGGGCCAAUACUGACGCUCAUGCACGAAAGCGUGGGGAGCAAACAGGAUUCAGAUACCCUGGUAGUCCACGCCCUAAAACGAUGUCAACUAGUUGUUGGGGAUUCAUUUCCUUAGUAACGUAGCUAACGCGUGAAGUUGACCGCCUGGGGAGUACGGUCGCAAGAUUAAAACUCAAAUGAAUUGACGGGGUCAUAGCUGUUUCCU